rnacentral:rRNA from 1 species
UACGGGGGGGAGCAAGCGUUGUUCGGAUUUACUGGGCGUAAAGGGCGCGUAGGCGGUCGUGACAAGUCACUUGUGAAAUCUCCGGGCUUAACUCGGAACGGUCAAGUGAUACUGUCGGACUAGAGUACAGAAGGGGGCAACUGGAAUUCUCGGUGUAGCGGUGAAAUGCGCAGAUAUCGGGAGGAACACCCGUAGCGAAGGCGGCACUCUGGGCCGGUACUGACGCUGAGGAGCGAAAGCGUGGGGAGCAAACAGG